rnacentral:rRNA from 2 species
GUCCUAAAUGACUCUCGGCAACGGAUAUCUCGGCUCUUGCAUCGAUGAAGAACGUAGCGAAAUGCGAUACUUGGUGUGAAUUGCAGAAUCCCGUGAACCAUCGAGUCUUUGAACGCAAGUUGCGCCCGAAGCCAUCAGGCCGAGGGCACGCCUGCCUGGGUGUCACCGA